rnacentral:rRNA from 1 species
GACAGAGGAGGCGAGCGUUAUCCGGAGUUAUUGGGCGUAAAGGGUACGUAGGCGGCUGGUCAAGUCUGGGGUUAAAGACCACAGCUUAACGGUGGGGGGGCCUUGGAAACUGACCGGCUGGAGUGGGGCAGGGGGUGCGGGAAUUCCCGGUGUAGCGGCGAAAUGCGUAGAUAUCGGGAAGAACGCCUGAGGCGAAAGCGCGCAACUGGGCCCUAACUGACGCUGAGGUACGAAAGCUAGGGGAGCGAAUGGG